UUUAGACCCGUAGCAAAUAGCUCCGUAACACGUGGUCAAACUACCCUCUGGACCGGAAUACCCUCGGGAAACUGAGGCUAAUUCCGGAUACUGCUUUCAUGUUGGAACACAGAAAGUCGGAAACGGUCCGCCGCCGGAGGACGUGACUGCGGCCGAUUAGGUAGACGGUGGGGUAACGGCCCACCGUGCCGAUAAUCGGUACGGGUUGUGAGAGCAAGAACCCGGAGACGGUAUCUGAGACAAGAUACCGGGCCCUACGGGGCGCAGCAGGCGCGAAACCUUUACACUGCACGCCAGUGCGAUAAGGGGACCCCGAGUGCGAGGGCAUACAGUCCUCGCUUUUCGUGACCGUAAGAAGGUCUCAGAAUAAGAGCUGGGCAAGACCGGUGCCAGCCGCCGCGGUAAUACCGGCAGCUCGAGUGAUAGCCACUAUUAUUGGGCCUAAAGCGUCCGUAGCCGGCCGAACAGGUCCGUCGGGAAAUCCACCCGCUCAACGGGUGGACGUCCGGCGGAAACCAGUCGGCUUGGGGCCGGGAGACCAGAGAGGUACGUCCGGGGUAGGAGUGAAAUCCUGUAAUCCUGGACGGACCGCCGGUAGCGAAAGCGUCUCUGGAGAACGGACCCGACGGUGAGGGACGAAAAGCUUGGGUCUCGAACCGGAUUAGAUACCCGGGUAGUCCAAGCUGUAAACGAUGCUCGCUAGGUGUGGCGUUGGCUACGAGCCAGCGCUGUGCCGUAGGGAAGCCGAGAAGCGAGCCGCCUGGGAAGUACGUCCGCAAGGAUGAAACUUAAAGGAAUUGGCGGGGGAGCACUACAACGGGAGGAGCCUGCGGUUUACUC
rnacentral:rRNA from 1 species